GCACUUCAUAGAGAGAGGUAAUGAAACAUCGUUCUUUUUACACAAACAGUACACACGAGACGCACCAAAUUCAGCAUAAAGACGCCUGUUUUUCCUUCGUCACGCGAUGAGGUAGUGCACUGCAAGUCCAUGUUUUCUAAACCGCAUGAGGCGCCUCUCAACUCCACGAUUGAUGCUAGUGAACUUCUAUGUGUUCUGUCUUUUUUCCUUUUUCUGCAAAGUGGACUACAAAGGGUUUUAUACCAAACUGCAUCAACGAAUAAUUCACUGUUAUUCGGCAAACUGUAGUUUUGUAUUCUUUUUACAAAAUGAAGUUUAGAAUUAUUAAAAUGAACUGCAGUUUCAAUUCACAUUUUCUCUCAAACAAUCGAAGCAAACUGCAUUCACCCCAAUACUCUGCAUGAUCACACACACCACUGCACAAACAAAAGAACAAAAUUUACAUGGGCUGCACACACGGACCCGCGUACUGCAUGGACGCGUCGGCGGACUGCGCGGAGGGAGGCUAUUUCCCUCCAAGCAGAAUGUCCAUGGAAACCACAAAAACAGGCAACGCGAUGUCCAACCGAGUUGCGCCACUUUCUUCCUGCAACAAUAUGUAAACUGAACCUCAAGAGCAAAUAAUAGCAGACUACUCUGCACUUUUGACCUUUUUCUUAAAAAAAAAGCAACAAAGAUAGUAGACUGCAGGUGCACACGGCAAAUCUCAUCGCCGCGGGGAUGCGCCACCUUCUAUCCUCCACUCCUCAGCAGUAAGUCAAUGCAGUGGAGUACAGAGCCCCAGCGGCGUGGGCGGGUGAGGCAGGAGCAAGGGGGUGGGCCGGUGCAGCAGGCCACGGCGUUGGGAGAUCACGCCAUGGCUGCGGUCGCCAAACUGCACGGCUGUGGCCGUCGGAUAGCAGGGAAGGUUGCAAAGCGAUGCGCCCGGGCAGAGGGGGGUGAGGUCGGCCCUGACCUGCGGGACGACUCCGUCGACCUAACCUCGAAGCGCCACACCAGCCGCUCCACGCAUUUUGAGGCUGCCGCCAUGGGGAUGGGGAGCCCGUAUGCUCACGCCGGAUAGGGAGGUCGAGGGAGCCCAGCCUACGGCUCCACCGGAUCCGGUAGUGAUGGCCGCCCCCGUGGCCCGUGGCGGCCGGAUCUAGAGGGAUCCAUCAGGCGGCAGUCGGAUUUGCUGCGGGAGAAGCGGCCACCAUUGCGCGGGGCGGGGUCACUGCGAGGAGGCAGCCACGGCGGGAGGGGGCCUGUGGAUCCGUCCACCACAGCGCAGAAGGUGCUCGACGCCCACGAUGCUCGCGGCAGGGCCGCGACGGCGGCCUGGGAAGGGGCGGCAUGGCGGUGGCCUGGGGAGGGCCGGUCGUGGCAGAUCGACUGUCGGCGGCUCCGUGGUGGUGCGGUCGGAGGGAGGUGCGGCGAUGGUGCGGGGGAGGGAGUUGGUGGUGCGACGCGGUGGACGGAGGUGGGGCGGUAGCGCGGUGGACGGAGGUGGUGGUGUGGCGCCAUGGAGGGAGGUGGCACGGUGGCGAGCGGUGGUGGUGCGGCGUGGUGGGGGGAGAUGGCGUGGGCAGAAGGAGGUGGAGGAUUGGGGUCGUGGUCGUGAGGGGAGGUGGGUUGGGGUGGUGCGGGGCUGCGGGCAUUGGCCGGCGACGGGUUGACCAG
rnacentral:rRNA from 1 species